rnacentral:rRNA from 1 species
CUACGGGCUGCUGCAGUGAGGAAUAUUGCACAAUGGGGGGAACCCUGAUGCAGCAACGCCGCGUGGAGGAUGACGCAUUUCGGUGUGUAAACUCCUUUUAUAUGUCAAGAAAAUGACGGUAGCAUAUGAAUAAGCACCGGCUAACUCCGUGCCAGCAGCCGCGGUAAUACGGAGGGUGCAGGCGUUACUCGGAAUCACUGGGCGUAAAGGACGCGUAGGCGGGUUGGAAAGUCAGGUGUGAAAUCCUACAGCUUAACUGUAGAACUGCACUUGAAACUUCUAAUCUAGAGUAUGGGAGGGGGAGAUGGAAUUAGUGGUGUAGGGGUAAAAUCCGUAGAUAUCACUAGGAAUACCUAAAGCGAAGGCGAUCUCCUGGAACAUUACUGACGCUAAGGCGUGAAAGCGUGGGGAGCAAACAGGAUUAGAUACCCCGGAGUC